rnacentral:tRNA from 1 species
GCAGCGAUGUCCGAGUGGUUAAGGAGUUGGACUUGAAAUUCAACGCUUACGCAUCGGUCAGCCGUGUUCUGGGUUGCACGACGUACACAAUCACACAACCAUAAUCACAACUUGAGCCAUCCCUGCA